AGAGUUUGAUCAUGGCUCAGGAUGAACGCUAGCGGGAGGCUUAAUACAUGCAAGUCGAGCGGCAAGGUCUUCGGACCCUAGAGCGGCGCACGGGUGAGUAACGCGUACGCAAUCUGCCCUUCAGUGAGGAAUAGCCCUGGGAAACUGGGAUUAAUACCUCAUAACAUUAUGAUAUCGCAUGAUAUUAUAAUUAAAGUUCUGGCGCUGAAGGAUGAGCGUGCGUCUGAUUAGCUAGUUGGUAGGGUAACGGCCUACCAAGGCUACGAUCAGUAGGGGGCGUGAGAGCGUGACCCCCCACACGGGUACUGAGACACGGACCCGACUCCUACGGGAGGCAGCAGUAAGGAAUAUUGGGCAAUGGAGGCAACUCUGACCCAGCCAUCCCGCGUGAAGGAUUAAGGCCCUAUGGGUUGUAAACUUCUUUUGCUUGGGAAGAAAUCUGGACAUUUAUGUGCAGUUGACGGUACCUUGCGAAUAAGCACCGGCUAACUCCGUGCCAGCAGCCGCGGUAAUACGGAGGGUGCAAGCGUUAUCCGGAAUCACUGGGUUUAAAGGGUGCGUAGGCGGUUUGAUAAGUCAGAGGUGAAAGCUAGCAGCUUAACUGUUAAAUUGCCUUUGAUACUGUCAGA
rnacentral:rRNA from 1 species